rnacentral:lncRNA from 1 species
GGGUGGCGGAUCCCGGGUUAGCCUCGUAUUAGCGGAAUGAUAGCCCGAGGAAGAUCGCAACCGCCUGUGCAACAGCAACAGCGUCAAGCUUGGCAUGAUAGGCAGUUACGUCAGAAAGCAAUUGGAAAAGGCUGCUUAACAAAUUUGACUUAGCGCCUGGAAAGCUUCAAACCAAGUGGUUAGAACCAUACAGGACACAUAAUGGCGCAGUUCGGUUAUGACGAUUUACAGGGUAAUUUUAUUUAUUUAGAUAGGGGCACCAGUGAAUCCUUUAAAGGUAUUGGACUAAAACAGAUAAUCCGGUACGAGUAAUUACUACUUAUUUCAGUCAUAAAUCCAUAGUAGAUCCAGAUGACCCGGUAGACUGUCCACACGACAAGUGUCCGUUUAUCGUUACGGUUUCCUUAUAAAGUGGAAAAGGAAGACCAAAAGAAGCAAUACAAGAGAAAGAAAGGGAAAUAUGGAUCGCUGAUCGAAGAACAGGAUGAGGCAUCAAAAAGACUCUAAACUCUAUCUUACAUAUACAUAUGCAAGAAUUCAGUCCAAAACGAGGGCACAGAAGGAGACUGAAACUGUGGACUAAGAGCAAAGACAGACUGCAUCUGUCUAGAGGGGGAGAGGAGAGGUGUACUACCGCACAACGGAUUGCCAUAAUAGUUGGUACGGAAUCAUUGAAAUGAGGAGACACGUAGACGAAGUGAGGGAAGCAAGAGCUCUACCUCUCAAUCAAUGCCCGGGAAGGGAACUAUGAGAAAGGCACUUCAAGAAUACAUACAUCUGGGGAUAGGCCAUUUAGAUAGACCGAUUCCAAUAGCGGUUAAUCCCGCAAACUACCGG